GAAACAUUCGGCAUGGGUGCCUUCCCUUCUGGCCCCUCCCCUGAGAAAGGAGCCUUUGUGUCUUUCCCUGCCCAUGGGAUCUGCAGCCCUCCCUUGAAGAAGAGAACUCGGCAGUUGCCAAUGGGAUGCAAUUCCGACAGCGACCAAGUCAACUGAGACAAUAAAGGAAUGGGGAGAGCUGCACAUUUACACGAAAAUCUUGAGAGGAUUGUGGAGUAGUGGAUGAAAUCCCUGAAGCAGCUCAGAGAGGGCUCCUGUCAUUUGCAAUAAACUCUCUGCUCAGCCAGGGAAUUCCUGUGGGGCCUCUACUUGACUGCACAAAGCAUCCAUUACACCAAAGAUUGUGAGGGCUUGUACUCAAGACUUUAUUUAUUUGUUUGUUUGUUUGUUUGUUUGUUUGUUUGUUUGUUUGUUUGUUUGUUUGUUUGAUCAUAUUUUUAUACCACCCAAAACUUAUGUCUCUGGGUGGUUUACAACAAAGCAAAACAAAUGACAAAAGAAAAGGUUAAAACAUCACAACAAUUAAAAUUUUUA